rnacentral:rRNA from 1 species
AGUCGAGCGGUAGAGAGAAGCUUGCUUCUCUUGAGAGCGGCGGACGGGUGAGUAAUGCCUAGGAAUCUGCCUGGUAGUGGGGGAUAACGUUCGGAAACGGACGCUAAUACCGCAUACGUCCUACGGGAGAAAGCAGGGGACCUUCGGGCCUUGCGCUAUCAGAUGAGCCUAGGUCGGAUUAGCUAGUUGGUGAGGUAAUGGCUCACCAAGGCGACGAUCCGUAACUGGUCUGAGAGGAUGAUCAGUCACACUGGAACUGAGACACGGUCCAGACUCCUACGGGAGGCAGCAGUGGGGAAUAUUGGACAAUGGGCGAAAGCCUGAUCCAGCCAUGCCGCGUGUGUGAAGAAGGUCUUCGGAUUGUAAAGCACUUUAAGUUGGGAGGAAGGGCAGUUACCUAAUACGUGAUUGUUUUGACGUUACCGACAGAAUAAGCACCGGCUAACUCUGUGCCAGCAGCCGCGGUAAUACAGAGGGUGCAAGCGUUAAUCGGAAUUACUGGGCGUAAAGCGCGCGUAGGUGGUUUGUUAAGUUGGAUGUGAAAUCCCCGGGCUCAACCUGGGAACUGCAUUCAAAACUGACUGACUAGAGUAUGGUAGAGGGUGGUGGAAUUUCCUGUGUAGCGGUGAAAUGCGUAGAUAUAGGAAGGAACACCAGUGGCGAAGGCGACCACCUGGACUGAUACUGACACUGAGGUGCGAAAGCGUGGGGAGCAAACAGGAUUAGAUACCCUGGUAGUCCACGCCGUAAACGAUGUCAACUAGCCGUUGGGAGCUCUUGAGCUCUUAGUGGCGCAGCUAACGCAUAAAUCCAAAUCUUAGACGCGCCAGAAAACC